rnacentral:lncRNA from 1 species
GAAUAUAGAUGAGAGCAGGUUCAUGGAGAUAUGUUCAAACAAUUGAGUUACCCUCUGAUAUUUUCUUCUUUCAUUGGUUCUGGAUGUCAGAUAUUUGCUGUGUAUUUUAUCAUUAUUAUUGUUGCCAUGAUAGAGAAUUUAUGUACAAAUGGGAGUUUGAUUCUCAGUUCAGACAUGUUUGUCUGUGCUGCUACAUCUCCAGUGAUGGGAUUGUGGAGGAAGUCUGUAUGCUAGAAUAAGAGGAAGAUGAAUAAAGCAGAUAUUUAUUGGGACAUUCCUUAUCUCAGCUAUGCUGUGUGGGACUGCAUUCUUUAUCAGUUUUAUAGUCAUUUAUUACCAUGCUUCUAGAGCCAUUCCUUUUGGAACAAUGGUGGCCAUUUUCUGCAUCUGCAUCUGCUUUUGUGGGUUUUUUUGUUUGUUUGUUUGUUUUUGUUUUGUUUUGUUUUUCUAUUCUUCCUAUAAAUCUUGGUACAAUACUUGGUUGAAAACUGUCAGGUCAGCCCAACUUCCCUUGUCAAUUCAAUGCUGUGCCUCAUCCUAUCCCAGAGGAAAAAAAAAUGGUUCUAUAGAGCCUGCAGUUAUUAUUUGCCUGGGAAGAAUUUUACCUUUUGGCUCAAUUUUUAUUGAAAUGCAUUUCAUCUUCAUGGCUUUCUGGGCAUAUAAGAUCUAUGGCUUUAUGAUUGUGGCACUGGUCACUUUGUGCAUUAUAACCAUCUUUGUGACCAUUGUGUGC